rnacentral:rRNA from 1 species
UACGUAGGGUCCGAGCGUUGUCCGGAAUUAUUGGGCGUAAAGGGCUCGUAGGCGGUCUGUUGCGUCGGGAGUGAAAUCUUACAGCUUAACUGUGAACUUGCUUUCGAUACGGGCAGACUUGAGGCAUUCAGGGGAGAACGGAAUUCCUGGUGUAGCGGUGAAAUGCGCAGAUAUCAGGAGGAACACCGUAGCGAAGGCGGGUCUCUGGCGAACUACUGA